AAAAGAUGAGCCCCGCUGUAGAUGCCCCACUUCCCUAAAAAUUCCUCAAAAUGUAAAAUACUGUCCAAUUGUUUCUUCAACCAUUUUUAUUAAAAUCUAACCCGUUGGCUGUAGUAGCAAUUUUCUUUUUUAACCAUUCAUAUUGUUAUAUAUAAUUUCAAUGAGAAUAAUUUUUUUAGAUUAAGUGAUUAAUCCAUAUCAGUUCACACAACACCAACGCUGUGGAUCAUUCAAAAUGGGCCCCUGUUGGAUGAACUAAAGAUCCCGAGCAAACUGUAAAUAUCCUCGGGCUGUGCAUUGUAUAAAACCUCUCACAACAUACCGUAGUCUAGCCCUCUAUUGCACUUCUGUAAUGCUCCGAUGUGAGAGAGGGAGAGGGAGAGAGACAGAGAGAGGAGGGCAGUGAAUUAAAAGAAAAACCCUAAAAAGCUCUUCCGAUUCAUCUGCUGUGGAGAGAUUAGAGGAGAAGCUUGGAGAACUGUCGGAUUUCCAUCUCCAAUCCUCAAAGUUCGAAGAAAAACCCUUUUCUGCAGUCCAUCUGCUCCUUCGGAUUGUCAAGAAAACGGUACUCUGAUUUGCAGUUUGCAUUAUUUGAGGACAGAGGAAGGGUUUUAACUUUCAAUCAGUGAUGCAGGCAGCUUUUCUUUUCACAGUCGUGGGCACCACUGGUUUUCUUGGUGUGUUGGGUGGCCAGCUUCCUGGGGGUUUGCCCCAUUUUGAUUGCUUAUGGCUGCGUAAAAUGAAAGUUGUCCCAUUUUGCUGACUCCAUGAAUUGGUGUUAUUUUUUCUCGUC